rnacentral:rRNA from 1 species
ACACCUUCGGGUGUGAAUUAGCGGCGAACGGGUGAGGAACACGUGAGAAAUCUGCCUUCAACACUGGGAUAACUCCGGGAAACCGGGGCUAAUACCGGAUAUGAAAUCUGCGGGCAUCCGCGGACUUGGAAAGUUUUUCGGUUGAAGAUGAUCUCGCGGCCUAUCAGCUUGUUGGUGAGGUAAUGGCUCACCAAGGCGACGACGGGUAGCCGGCCUGAGAGGGCGACCGGCCACACUGGGACUGAGACACGGCCCAGACUUCUACGGGAGGCAGCAGUGGGGAAUAUUGGGCAAUGGAGGAAACUCUGACCCAGCGACGCCGCGUGCGGGAUGAAGGCCUUCGGGUUGUAAACCGCUUUCANCAGGGAAGAAGCGAAAGUGACGGUACCUGCAGAAGAAGCACCGGCUAACUAUGUGCCAGCAGCCGCGGUAAUACAUAGGGUGCAAGCGUUGUCCGGAAUUAUUGGGCGUAAGGAGCUCGUAAGUGGUUCGUCACGUCGGAUGUGAAGCUCUGGGGCUUAACCCCAGACCUGCAUUCGAUACCGGCGAUCUUGA